UACGUAGGGUGCAAGCGUUAUCCGGAAUUAUUGGGCGUAAAGAGCUCGUAGGCGGUCUGUCGCGUCUGCUGUGAAAUCUGGGGGCUCAACCCCCAGCCUGCAGUGGGUACGGGCAGACUAGAGUGCGGUAGGGGGAGAUUGGAACUCCUGGUGUAGCGGUGGAAUGCGCAGAUAUCAGGAAGAACACCGAUGGCGAAGGCAGAUCUCUGGGCCGUAACUGGACGCUGGAGGAGCGGAAAAGCAUGGGGGAGCGAACAGG
rnacentral:rRNA from 1 species